UAGUGUAGUUAACACCUGCACUAUUUGACGUUACCUACAGAAGAAGCACCGGCUAACUCCGUGCCAGCAGCCGCGGUAAUACGGAGGGUGCGAGCGUUAAUCGGAAUUACUGGGCGUAAAGCGCAUGCAGGCGGCCUGUUAAGUCAGAUGUGAAAGCCCGGGGCGUUAACCUCGGAAUUGCAUUUGAAACUGGCAGGCUAGAGUCUUGUAGAGGGGGGUAGGAAUUUCUAGGUGUAGCGGUGAAAUGCGUAGAGAUCUGAAGGAAUACCAGUGGCGAAGGCGGCCCCCUGGACAAAGACUGACGCUCAGAUGCGAAAGCGUGGGGAGCAAACAGGAUUAGAUACCCCUGGUAG
rnacentral:rRNA from 1 species